GAUGAAGAACGCAUCGAAAUGCGAUAAGUAGUGUGAAUUGCAGAAUUCAGUGAAUCAUCGAAUCUUUGAACGCACAUUGCGCCCUUUGGUAUUCCUUAGGGCAUGCCUGUUCGAGCGUCAUUUCAACCCUCAAGCCCUGCUUGGUGUUGGGCGUUUGUCCUGCCUCCGCGCGGGACUCGCCUCAAAGACAUUGGCGGCCGGUUUCCCUUUGCAGGCCACGAGCGCAGCACAGCGAGCGCUCUACGUGGACGCGGGGUCGGCGCACCAGAAGCCCUCUUUCUCGAAUUUUGACCUCGGAUCAGGUAGGGAUACCCGCUGAACUUAAGCAUAUCAAUAAGCGGAGGA
rnacentral:misc_RNA from 1 species